AGGUAAGCUACUAAGAGCGAAUGGUGGAUGCCUUGACUGGUAAAGGCGAUGAAGGACGUACUAGACUGCGAUAAGCUACGGGGAGCUGUCAAGAAGCUUUGAUCCGUAGAUUUCCGAAUGGGGCAACCCAAUGUAUAGAGAUAUACAUUACCUAUAUAGGAGCGAACGAGGGGAAUUGAAACAUCUUAGUACCCUCAGGAAAAGAAAUCAAUAGAGAUUGCGUCAGUAGCGGCGAGCGAAAGCGCAAGAGGGCAAACCCAGUGCUUGCACUGGGGGUUGUAGGACUGCAAUGUGCAAGAGCUGAGUUUAGCAGAACAUUCUGGAAAGUAUAGCCAUAGAGGGUGAUAGUCCCGUAUGCGAAAAACAAAGCUUAGCUAGCAGUAUCCUGAGUAGGGCGGGACACGAGGAAUCCUGUCUGAAUCCGGGUCGACCACGAUCCAACCCUAAAUACUAAUACCAGAUCGAUAGUGCACAAGUACCGUGAGGGAAAGGUGAAAAGAACUGAGGUGAUCAGAGUGAAAUAGAACCUGAAACCAUUUGCUUACAAUCAUUCAGAGCACUAUGUAGCAAUACAGUGUGAUGGACUGCCUUUUGCAUAAUGAGCCUGCGAGUUGUGGUGUCUGGCAAGGUUAAGCAAACGCGAAGCCGUAGCGAAAGCGAGUCUGAAUAGGGCGCUUAGUCAGAUGCUGCAGACCCGAAACGAAGUGAUCUAUCCAUGAGCAAGUUGAAGCUAGUGUAAGAACUAGUGGAGGACUGAACCCAUAGGCGUUGAAAAGCCCCGGGAUGACUUGUGGAUAGGGGUGAAAGGCCAAUCAAACUUCGUGAUAGCUGGUUCUCUCCGAAAUAUAUUUAGGUAUAGCGUUGUGUCGUAAUAUAAGGGGGUAGAGCACUGAAUGGGCUAGGGCAUACACCAAUGUACCAAACCCUAUCAAACUCCGAAUACCUUAUAUGUAAUCACAGCAGUCAGGCGGCGAGUGAUAAAAUCCGUCGUCAAGAGGGAAACAACCCAGACUACCAGCUAAGGUCCCUAAAUCUUACUUAAGUGGAAAACGAUGUGAAGUUACUUAAACAACCAGGAGGUUGGCUUAGAAGCAGCCAUCCUUUAAAGAAAGCGUAAUAGCUCACUGGUCUAGUGAUUUUGCGCGGAAAAUAUAACGGGGCUAAAGUAAGUACCGAAGCUGUAGACUUGCGCACAACUUAGAUUAUUUAAGUUUAGAAUAUGAGAAACUAAGUUAUGUUUAGUUAUAUUUUUACUGAUUUUUAUAGAGUAAAGAUAGAAAUAAAACUUAGUAAAAUCAGUAAAAAUAUUCUUAGGCUAAAGUUAAGUAGUUUAAGUUGUGUGCAAGUGGUAGGAGAGCGUUCUAUUUGCGUCGAAGGUAUACCGGUAAGGAGUGCUGGAGCGAAUAGAAGUGAGCAUGCAGGCAUGAGUAGCGAUAAUUAAUGUGAGAAUCAUUAACGCCGUAAACCCAAGGUUUCCUACGCGAUGCUCGUCAUCGUAGGGUUAGUCGGGUCCUAAGUCGAGUCCGAAAGGGGUAGACGAUGGCAAAUUGGUUAAUAUUCCAAUACCAACAUUAGUGUGCGAUGGAAGGACGCUUAGGGCUAAGGGGGCUAGCGGAUGGAAGUGCUAGUCUAAGGUCGUAGGAGGUUAUACAGGCAAAUCCGUAUAACAAUACUCCGAGAACUGAAAGGCUUUUUGAAGUCUUCGGAUGGAUAGAAGAACCCCUGAUGCCGUCGAGCCAAGAAAAGUUUCUAAGUUUAGCUAAUGUUGCCCGUACCGUAAACCGACACAGGUGGGUGGGAUGAGUAUUCUAAGGCGCGUGGAAGAACUCUCUUUAAGGAACUCUGCAAAAUAGCACCGUAUCUUCGGUAUAAGGUGUGGUUAGCUUUGUAUUAGGAUUUACUCCGAAAGCAAGGAAACUUACAACAAAGAGUCCCUCCCGACUGUUUACCAAAAACACAGCACUCUGCUAACUCGUAAGAGGAUGUAUAGGGUGUGACGCCUGCCCGGUGCUCGAAGGUUAAUUGAUGGGGUUAGCAUUAGCGAAGCUCUUGAUCGAAGCCCGAGUAAACGGCGGCCGUAACUAUAACGGUCCUAAGGUAGCGAAAUUCCUUGUCGGUUAAAUACCGACCUGCAUGAAUGGCGUAACGAGAUGGGAGCUGUCUCAAAGAGGGAUCCAGUGAAAUUGUAGUGGAGGUGAAAAUUCCUCCUACCCGCGGCAAGACGGAAAGACCCCGUGGACCUUUACUACAGCUUGACACUGCUACUUGGAUAAGAAUGUGCAGGAUAGGUGGGAGGCUUUGAGUAUAUGACGCCAGUUGUAUAUGAGCCAUUGUUGAGAUACCACUCUUUCUUAUUUGGGUAGCUAACCAGCUUGAGUUAUCC
rnacentral:rRNA from 1 species